GGGAACUGUUGAGUCACGGCCUGAACCACUGAUUGAACACCUGGGGAAAGGACCAGUCAGCCCUGGGAGCACAGGUGAGGGCAAUUCAGCUGUGUCACUGGAAGGGGUGGAGACAGGCUUCACCUCUCUUAGACCCUAUUUAAGGGCUUACGGUGACUGGGGAGAGAUCUUUUUUUGGAGAUCCCUCCUUGUUGGAUCUUUUCCUUGUGAACCUAGAAUUGUCUGAUACAGAGAGAGAGAGAGAGUUUUGUUUUCCCUCCUAAACAUCUGAGUACAGUAAAAUGAUCACAUACCUUUUGUAUGAAAACGAUGCUGAAAUGCAUCUGGAAACCAAAGACUGGAAUGGGCCAGGCUUGCCUUGUGUCAGCAUGAGUGGCUGAGGACAAGAGUGUAGCUCACAAGUUGAAUCUCUCUGAUUACAUGUAAAUCCUUUGCGCUGUCAUCAAAAAUCAGGAUGUAUUUUCUACAGAACAUCUAAUGGCCAAUGGAAGGAAUCUUUCCACUGACUUGAGGCUGCUUUGUGUCAAACUGUAACUCACUUAGUAGAACAAGCAAUACAAACAGAUGAAUGAAUGAGUGAAUUUGCAUAUCUCCUUAACCUUCUGAAAUGAGAUAGCAGCAAAUGGUCGUACUCAGUUGAUAACUUCCUCUCAGGUGCGGUACUGCCCUGAUGUCUUCACAGAGAGGUGAAAAUGUUUGAUGCAAGGGUAGAUGUUGAAUGUGCCCCAUUCAUGAGGUAGCUGAAGAAGAAAGAACCUGACUGCAGGCACGAUUACAUUCCAUUGAAUGCUAUCAAGGUUCUGAUACAAUGUCAGCAAAGGCCAAUGUAAGAGCAACGUGAUGGAAGGCACGGAGCAAUACCCCCUGUAUAAAGAUAUAGGAUGCCAGAGUCCCACAUGUGGCUUGGCUGCAUACAUGCUAUGUAUGACUUGGGGGAAAGACUGAAUUAAUUCAUCAUUUUGCAUAAGCAUGGAAGAGACCAUCACUAAAAAAGCUUAGAGGAAAGAGAACUAGAAUGAAAGGACAAAAUCAUUUAAAUCAUUUGGGCUCAUCUUCAUAAAAAGAGUACCUGGUAAAUUAACACGGAGCUAUCCCUGACACUGAACAUAAAUGGAAUUCAAUCAGGUUCCAACUUUAAACAGGAGGACUGAGGAGACUUCUUAAAUGAGACAGCCGGAGCCUUUUUACAACAUGUUGUGUUGGUGACUGGAUAGUUCUGGGGACUAAUGAGGAGAUAUAAAAUCACAGUGAAGUUGGUGACCAUUUCUAAUCCAAAGCAAGUGAAGAAAGUGAAUGGUGCCCUGCCUUAGCUUCCUUUAUGUGCUUCCAGUUUUCUGAAAUCAGCCAUGUCUUCUGCAGAUAGGACUGUAACAGCUUGAUGGAUACCUCAGGAUCAGUUUAUACACGAGAAGUUUUCUUCAACAGCUUUCCAGCCCUGAGCAGCACUGGACCAAGCCGUGGUGUUGGUUCUCCAGAGCAGCAGCAGCAGCAGCCCUAGCAGCCAUCCCUUCUCUGAGCGUGGAAGUCUGUGUUUCCUGAAUCAACACACUCAGCACUUGGCUUUUUCUUCCCGCUAUUACUCAGAUCACAGCCCUGAUCACAUCGUGCACUACACACAUCGCUUAUGCUGCUGGCAGUUGGAGUAGAGGAAUGAAAAUUAACCAGCGUUUCUCAAAAACAGUGGUUUGAUCAAAAAACAAGGUAUGUUUUAACUUAGUACAAAAGAAGAUCAUCUGAGGAGUAAGGUGCCUGAUGGGGAAGAAGAGAUGCUUGUGUCCAGUUUCCAUGAUCCUGCUGACACUGGAGAUACCUGCUGUACAGGCUUUUUUACCUCACCUUGUUUGGUAUGUCCAAGCUCCCCAUUCCAUGACAGAGCCAAGCAGCUUCAGCCAGGCAUGAGGACCUUCGUACAUGAAAAGCAGUGAAGAGCCAUAUCCCUAAAGCAUGCAACUCUUGUAUAUGACAAAAGAUAAUGGGUGGAUACCAAGAAUUGAAGGUAACAGAAAGAAAGAGAGGACAUAUUUCCACAGCUUGGCAAAAGCAGUCUCCAAAGUCCUCAAACAGCUGUGGAAAAAUAGUGAAAGGAGAGCAAAUAGCCUGUUUGUCCUCUAUCUCAUGGACACAGUGCCUUGUGAGCCCUGGAGGGUAUCUGCUCAUAUCCAAGCUGUGAAAGCAGUUGCUGUGCCUGCCACAUCACAGCUUCAUAGACACACCAAUGCUUGCAGUACAGUCAAAAUAUGCUUUAAAGCCCAUUUCAGCAGCAAGCUCUCUGGAUUCUGUGCCAGGAAAUGUUAAUUACUGUGGUGCAGUGUUCUGUUUUCUGUGGUGCAAUAACAAUUAAUUUACACCAUUUGGAAAAACACUUUUUUAUUAAAAAUCAAUAGAAGCAAAUCAAUGCAAUGUAAAGCAUACAAUACCAAAAUGAAAAGCUCUUGUUUUUAUACUUGGGCAUCCUUAAUAAAAUUGCACUGUAGAUUCAGGCAGUUUGUCUAUUGUAAUCUAAUGAGAAGCUGUCAAGCUUCUUUUAAGCGUUCUGGAAAUUACCAUGUAUUGGGGCAGCCAUUUUUAGUCAAAGAAUUCAAUAAUUAACCCCCAAGUUGUAAGUCAAUAUGAUGAUGGUGCAGGUGCCGCUGCAUUUGUCUCUCUGCACUGCAUCACCUAUGCACCUGACAAUCUGUGGGACCCAUUUUGAAUCGAGAUGGAGGUUAAUUUUUAUUUAUAGUUAUAAUUAGAAAAACACUAGCUGUAAUGAAAACUGCUCCACCGCUGGAACAUAUCACCACAGAGUAAAUUCCACAGCAAUUUUUGCAUUUUAAUAGGUCAGAGAGUAACACAAAUGAAUUGCUUCUUCCUGGGGGAACUUGUUUAUUCUUUGGAAUUUAAUGAUUUACUGGAACACUGAUCUCAAAGAAAAAAAUCCCACAGUUGUUUUUCUACCAUUGCCUCAACUGCACAAGGUGCUGCAGACCCUGGGAAGGCAGCUCACACCUGUAAUUGUACAGCUCCUGAGGCUCCCCUGCACAAGGUACUGGGGCCUACCUGCCAGCUCCUCAGCACCCUGCUGCACAUGGCACAGGAGCUCAGGGACUUCUCCAGGAUGAUACAGCUCCACCACAGAAGUGCUCCCUCAGCCCACAGCAGGAUGCAUCCAGCUGCUACAGUAAGGAAUGCUUUACCCUUUAGGCACAAGCUGCUGUUCCCCUCCCCAUGGUCCACCGCCAUGGUCUGCACAUUUAUGAGUGCAGCCACAACUACAGCUGGUCUUCUCUGACUCAACCAGAGCAGGAAGAAGCAGGACAAUUUUAAUCCAAUGGAAGCACUCAUGGAAGCAGCCAAGGACAUAUCACUCUGGAAGGGCAGAUCAUCAUUUCCUUUCUCCAGACAGGACUACUAUGGGUUUGAGUUUGACUAUUUUAACGGUGAAUUGAUUUUUUGUGUGAAGUGAUCUAGGUAUGACAGUAGAUUUUUCAAAGUCAUUCGGUAGCUCAUGACAGUGGGCUGGGAGGACAGGUGUCAUCAAAUAAAAAGGUAUGAACUGGACUAAUUUAAAAGGAACGCAGAGGUUGUACAGAACUGCCAGAAACUCCAUCGCUUUGGUACAGCGAUGCAAGGAAAAUAGAAACAGUAACAAAAGAAGACUUUGAAAUUCAAAGUUUUACAAAACAGGAUAUUUGAUUUGGAUUGUAUCUAGAAAUUGCAAAAGCUUGGCAAAGCAUCACUGAGGUACUGCAAAAUAUUUGUAAUCUGCAUAAUCUUUAUAUGCCACAGUCUUUCCCUCUACUGUGGGAGCUGUGAUGUAACCAUGAAUUUGUUAUUGGGGUGGCUGACACUAAUGUUCUUACAUAUUAAAAAAAAAAAAAAAA
rnacentral:lncRNA from 1 species